AAUAUUCUAACUCCAAAAUAUACUUUACUUAGUCCAGUUAUGCGAAACGUCAUAUCCAUCAAGCCUAUACAAUGGUUCCUCGCUAACUUUAGGCAAAUCUUAAACUAUCUCCCAAAUGUCAUGACCAGAUAACCUUGGAGGUGGACCAUCAUGUUCAGCUCUAUUCUUUCUGAAUGCAUUCCUGAGUCUCCUAAACUUAUGAUCAGGUAGCAAGAAACAACUAUGACAAUCA
rnacentral:lncRNA from 1 species